rnacentral:lncRNA from 1 species
AACAAAGCUCUUUUCCACCAGUAAUUACGGCACCACAAUGAUUGUAACUAGAUCGAUCGGAAGAUUCACGAAUCCAUUUUGUUUAAGACAGAUCAUUUUUAGGAAUGUCCUAGGUAUGUUCCUCUAACCUAAGUGCCACCUCUUCCCUCCAAUUCUCUGUUUUUGAUUCGUUAAGUUUGAGAUUCAUUGAUUUAUCUUGUUCAUUACCAUUUAUGUUUUUAGGCUUCUUGUGUUGAAACUUCGAUUCUUGAGAAUUUGUAUAGUCGGGGUUCAUCUAUGACCAAUCUGCUAUUUCUCCGUUUUUUCUCCAUUCAAAUGAUGUUCUAAUAAUCCAUUAGAUGUGUUGUUAUUGAUUUGUUCCCUUUGAAAUUCGAGUUGAUAUAGUUUUACAUGAUUUGCUUUUGUUGAUUCUUAAAAUGCUUAGAAAUAUUGUUAGUAUUUGGUUAUUUUAAGUAACUUUGAUAUGUAAUUGAUAUUAUUGUGCUCCACUCUUCCAUUUAGUUCCAUCGCAUUGGUUGAUUUAGAAUAUUUCCGUAAUUUAAGUUAAUUGUGGUAAGGUUGUCACUUUUAAAAGAAUGAUUAUGUUAAGAACUUGAUAUUUGGGUACUCUUUGGUCACUUUAAUAAGCUUAAGUCUUUCCUUUUGACAGUAACAACAUGUUUGGACAACUAUUGAUGUUAUGUCUUCCUUAUUAAAUUUUAGUUUCGUACAUAUAUGAUUUUGGUAAAUUUUAGUAUGCUUUCUUUUCCUUAAUUAUGAUUUACUGCUUUCUAUUCAUAAGCAUGAGAUUUACUCGUGCUAUUCAUGGUAAAAUAUAGCAGGAUUAAUUGAUUUAUUUGGGUGAAUUUCUUAACCUAUUUAUAGUAACACUGAUCUAAUUUUUGGCUUGGACUGAUUUUGCUCAUCUUAAUAGGAUAAAUUUUUCUUUGAUUGAUUUUUUCCAGAUUUCUCUCAUUAUGUCUAUGAUUGACUAUAGUCUUUUAUAUAUAAGCAUGGCCUAAUGCUCUUCUUUGGAGACUUUUUUACACUCUAGACAUGAGAACACAUUUUUACUUUCUCAUUUGAGCAUACUCUCAAAAGCACUAAAGAUUCUGGCGUAUUACUGAAAGAAGUUUCUUCAUUUUGGCUACUACACGAGGUUUGGCUUCGAGCUUUCAUAUCAAGUUUUGCGUUGCUUAGUAACUUAUCUACGUAUCCGGUUAGUAAUUCUUACUAGAAUAAGUUUAACACUUGCAUAUAGUAUAGUAUUACUUUAAGGUUUUUUGCACAAAUUCAUAUUAACUUUAAAGGAAGCGUCCAAGUGAGUUUUCUUUUACUUUUGCCUAGUAUUAGAUAUGUUUCACCUUUUCAUAUCUUUUGAUUGAUAUGUGAAGUCUUUGUUUUGAAAAUUUAGAUUAUUAAUUGUUAUUUUAUUUGACUACAUGAAUAUAACUGUCUGCAAUAUUAUUAUAGUUUAAUAUGAAGUUUAAAGACAUAUUUAAGAGAACCCGUGGAUGGGGCUUACCAGAUGGAGUCAACUUUGCUUAAAUUUUUAUUCGUUUGUAUUACUUGUUACUUUUGACUUGUAAAAAUAAUGUAACGAAACUCUACUCUCUGUAUAUAUUAAAUAUUUGGGGACUAUCUAAGGGGGAGGGGAACUAACGUGCUACUUGUGUUUAUCUUCUGUCGUAAUUUAUGUGUGGCUUUAGUACAUAAAUAUCCCUACGUGUGUUAACUAUUUAAACAUAUAAAAUCAUGUGCCACUAACUCUCUGCUAGGACCCAAUUUUAAAUGUUAAUUUAAAGGCAAUUUCAGGGUAAUUUCACAAACUCUGUUUAAUUAAGAGUAUUCUGCCUACUGUUAUUAUCAUGAAUAUUACCUAAUAUUGUUUACUUUCACAUAUAGUAUUUAAAGAAAAAUGGUCUACUAUCAGCAUAUUAAUUGCUUAAUCUUAGCAUGGAUUAAUGGUCCACUACCAGUGUGUAAUCAAGUCCUUCUUACAUAUACUUUUAUAAUUAUGAAAAUGUGCCACUAUUGCUUCUUAGUAAAAACCUUUAAUAAAUCUAUUACAUGCUCCCCUCAUUCCAAUUGCUAAUCAACUUGUUGUUGUGUUGUUGAAAUAGUCUAAAAGCCUAACUAGUUAUAACGUGCCCUUUGUUAGGUAUCAUAAUUUAGGAUUAUCGUUUUGAUUUUUAUCACAACAUAUUUAAAAUGGCCUUUGUCAAGUUUUGAGAAUUACUCUGUAUAAAACCAUGUCUAUAUGAAUUAUGUAAUAUAUUUAUCAUGUUAAUUAAUUAGAUAUCACGUCCAUAUGCCUUUGUUAAACAGUUUUCAAUAUAUUAAUUCACAUGGACAUCAUGCCUAUAAGUUUUAAUGCAUUAUGAAAAGCUAGCAUGCUAAUAACUAAAAUUUUCAUAAAUGUAUCUCUUUAAUUACAAUUAGCCUAUUAAAAUUGUCCCUAUUGUCUCACUUUGCUUCCACAUUAUUCAAGUUUUGCACUAUGACUUAUAUAUCUGAUUAUGUAUGCACACACAACUCUAUCAUGAUCCUUCACUACUUAUUUGUGUUUUCAAGUAUGCUAAAUAGCUAAAUUAGAGGCCCAUUUAAGAUUUUAUGUGCUAAGUCUUUGUCCUACCUAUUUUGCUUGACGCUUAAGGUCUAAUUAGGAAUCUUAUGAUUUGUUUAAGUCUAAAACCUACCAUUUAGUUAUCCCAAUGUCUCUUGGGCAUUAAGUUGGGACGCGAGACACCUUUUAGGACGUCUAGUUUUAUGAUUUCUUUAGUUUGCUUUAGGAUUUUAAUAAUAAAUGAACUUAGGAGGGAGUAGGGGUAGAUAGGCCCUUUUAGAAAUGAUGUAAGUUGACUCGAGCAAAAAAUGAUAAACUCUAAUUUGCCUUCCGAUUAAUAAGCCGGACGUUGAUCCGAGAAGGAUAGUUUUAGAUUUAAGUUUCAUUUUUCUUGUCUUUUAUAUUUAUUAUUUGUAUUUAUUUAGGGUAAUAAUUAAUUUAAAAUAAUAUUUUUUUUGAUAAAAAUAAUGAUUCUAUCUUCUUGAUUAUCUUCUCUAUUUAUGUUUUCAUGUUUAUUUCCGACUUGUCUUAUAAUUAAUUUUCUAUCUCUAUCACUUAAUUUAAUUUACCAAUAAAUAAAUAAAUAGUGACCUUAUUUGCCACAUGUAUAACCCCCACAAAAAUGUAUGAGAUACGACUAGGAUCUACAUUUGUGGACCUCAAAAGGUUCUUAACACCUUCUGUUUGAGGUAAUUUGAACAUUGAUCACUGGUUCGUUGACCCUUUAAAAUUAAUUUAGUAUUAGUUAGGUUCCCAAACACACAUUUAAUUUGUUAGGUGGUGACUCUAUUUUAAAUUAAAUCCUUAAAGAGUUGUCACAUUGUUGAACAACCCAUUUUGUGAAAAAAUGGGGCGUGACAGCAUGACGACACUACUAGAAAGAAUCCUAAAAGAUUUGUCACGUCAUUGCAAACCCAUUUUGCAAAAAAUGAGGCGCGACACUUAUUCUUUAUAUUGUAUUCAAAGAUAGCCUAUACUUAUUUUGUAUUUGUAAAAUUCGUGUACUAUUAUUUUGAUUAGACACUUGAUUACUAACUGAUGGUAGGUCUUCGGAUGGUUCCUUGUAUUACGUUUCUGUUGAUUACCCUUUCUUUGCUUGGUUAUAAGCUUUAUGUGUAACGACACUCAAAAUAAAGUAGGAUAAAGUAGAGCCUCACAUGAGUUUUAUGCAUUAAUAACUUAUUAAAAUAAUGAAGAAUAGCCUUUUUAGUCAGUUUUAAAGAGUUUGGAAGUCAAACAUCAAGGGACGACCAAGACGUUCGGAAACUAGUCUUUUACGUGUUGGUGUGUUCUACUAUGUUGUUCAUGUUUUUAUGUGUUGUUUGGAGUCUAAAAUCAGUAGAGGUGACCCUAGUGUCUUAAUAAAUGUUUUCAGGGUCAAAACGUUCGGAUACGAAACCCCGGGGGCCACCCUAAGGGUCCCCGAAUAGGACCCAAACCUUGGCCAAGGCAGCUUGAGAUUGUGCUUAGAGAGUGCAUGUCCGCGUCGCGGACUAGCUCCACCAAGGGCCAAAAGUUUGGUCCGCAUCGCGGACAUGUCGC